rnacentral:rRNA from 1 species
AACGAACGCUGGCGGCAUGCCUAACACAUGCAAGUCGAACGAGAUCUUCGGGUCUAGUGGCGCACGGGUGCGUAACGCGUGGGAAUCUGCCCUUUGGUUCGGAAUAACAGUUGGAAACGACUGCUAAUACCGGAUGAUGACGAAAGUCCAAAGAUUUAUCGCCAGAGGAUGAGCCCGCGUAGGAUUAGCUAGUUGGUGGGGUAAGGGCGCACCAAGGCGACGAUCCUUAGCUGGUCUGAGAGGAUGAUCAGCCACACUGGGACUGAGACACGGCCCAGACUCCUACGGGAGGCAGCAGUGGGUAAUAUUGGACAAUGGGCGAAAGCCUGAUCCAGCAAUGCCGCGUGAGUGAUGAAGGCCUUAGGGUUGUAAAGCUCUUUUACCCGGGAUGAUAAUGACAGUACCGGGAGAAUAAGCUCCGGCUAACUCCGUGCCAGCCGCCGCCGUAA